CAGAGUGUAGCUAAAAUAGCAAAGCAUCUCUCUUACACUGAGAAGACACCCAUGCAAAUUGGGUCACCCUGA
rnacentral:tRNA from 1 species